GUCCAGACUCCUACGGGAGGCAGCAGUGGGGGAUAUUGCACAAUGGGGGGAACCCUGAUGCAGCGACGCCGCGUGGGUGAAGAAGCGCCUCGGCGCGUAAAGCCCUGUCAGCAGGGAAGAAAAUGACGGUACCUGAAGAAGAAGCCCCGGCUAACUACGUGCCAGCAGCCGCGGUAAUACGGGGGGUGCAAGCGUUGUCCGGAAUCAUUGGGCGUAAAGCGUUCGUAGGCGGUAUGUCAAGUCUGAUGUUAAAGCCCGGGGCCCAACUCCGGUUCGGCAUUGGAUACUGGCAAACUAGAAUGUGGUAGAGGUAAAGGGAAUUCCUGGUGUAGCGGUGAAAUGCGUAGAUAUCAGGAGGAACAUCGGUGGCGAAAGCGGUUUACUGGACCAUUAUUGACGCUGAGGAACGAAAGCCAGGGGAGCAAAUGGGAUUAGAUACCCCAGUA
rnacentral:rRNA from 1 species